GUCCGCUUAACUCAGUGGUACGAGUGUCGGCUUCCGGCGCCGGAGGUCAAGGGUUCGAUCCCCUUAGCGGAUU
rnacentral:tRNA from 1 species